CAGAUUCCCACUCUACCACCAGACCGCCCCGAAAUGGUGCGGAAGGGGAAGAGCCUCAAGAAGGAAGCGAGACGUCCCCGGACGCGCUUGCGCAAGAAGCCCUCCUGCCCUCCCCCCUCCCAGCGCGGAAGGAAGAAUAGAAAUAAAACCGGGACCCAGGAAGCAGCGCCUGCACCUCUUGGGCCUCCCGGCAUGCGCUGCGGCUCAGCGGCGGAGGCGGGAGUGACGUCACUAGGAGGCCUUUCUUGACGCAGUGAAGACUCUAUCCCGAUUCCUUCUAUUCCUGGCUCCGCCCCCCCGCCCCCCCCCUCCGCUUCUUUCCCGCAGCUUCCCGAGCCUUUGGGGAUGAGCUGGGGACGGAAUGUGGGGCCCUUACAGGAAAGAGACCCGGAUGUGACGGGAAAUUCCGGAGGGAAAAGUGCACGUGGAAGUUCAGUGUUAGCUCAUUUGCAUAAUUACAAAGGAGGGCGCGGCCCCCCUUCUCCUGGGAGGGGCCCCUGGCCACGGGACCUUCAGUGAGGGGGGGCCGGGAGAGACCCACGCUCGUGCUCAGCCCCCCCCCCCCCCCCCCCCCCCCCCGGCAGCUGCUCCUUCCUGCGUCCGUGGGGGGCAGGGAGGCUCCCUCCGAGCUCCCGCCUGAAACCCGGGGCUCUGGCCCCCCUGGAAGCGCCUUCUUCAGCCCCGCUGAGAAGGGGUAAAAGCCCCUGUUUGUUUCUAAGAGGCUGCCUCGGGCGCCUCCUGUCGGGGAAGCGGGAGCCCCCGGGGGGCGCCGGGAGAUUUCUGGGGAACCGCGAAUCUUCCGCUUCUUUCCAGGCCCAUCCCGCGAAUCCCCCCGGGGCGGGUCCGGCCGCGCUGCUUGUGGUCCCUCUCCAUAAACCUCAAUGAUCUGAUCUCUUGUGGGGGGAGGGGAUGGAAUUAGCCUGUCAUGAGUUUUGGGGAAAAAAAGACAAAACCCCCAAACCAGGAGGAGCCCAUUUAGAACCAUUUGUGCUUCGGCCGCCCCAGCUUCCUGACGCCCACGUGCUGGGAAGGGCAGGGAGCCAGCAGGGGGCGUGUGCGCGGGUGGGGGAGGAGCUUGAUUUUCACCGGGUUGGGGGCUGGGCCAGUCGUCUCUGUGCUUCCCCCCAGCAAGGCCUGGGUAUGGGCCGAUGACCCCCGGCCGCCGGGGAUGGGCAGACGAGCCUUCCGUCCUGACCUCACACCCGGUGGAGUUGAAGGGAGCUUGGUGCACUCACAGGAAGAGAGCUCUCGGGCUCCAGCUCUAGCCGCGCAAAGGCCGAUGACUGACCCUCAGGGAGCUCAGCGCUCUUUUCCAGAGGCAGCUGCAUGGGGCAAAGGCCGGCUCCUGCACAACAUCCGGGGCCCUGAGCUCGUGAUAUCACACCUUCUAGCUCUCAGUAGCUGCAGGAGGGAAACCGUCCUGGGUCCAAAUCUUCAUGCUGGAGUCUGUCAGAUCUCAGCCAGUCAGAGCCAGGAGGAGUUUGGCUCCUGGAAGGAUGUCACCUUCAAACACGGGCACUGGGUGGGCCCCAUCAUCCCCAGAGUUGUUCACAACCCCAGGGGUAUGGCCAGAGGCAGGGAGGCAGCCAGGCAGGAUGGCAGGGAAUGGGGCAAGGGGCUAAGGGUCUCAAACAUGAUCCGUGUCACCCUUUCUUUUCUUUGGGCCAGGGGGCUUCUGUGAGCAGCACAGGGGGCUCUUUGGUGAUCUCAUGGAAUACAAUAUAGAAAGCAUGGCCCCAGCUCUCCACGUGCCUCCAGAACAUAAGGUGGUCACUCUCCCUGACUUCUCAAGAAGGAUGGAAAUUUGGGCUAUUUCAUGAAUAUUUCGUUCUGUUGAAAAUCUAAUGAAGGCUGUGCUGCAGAAGGAGACCUUCCCUUGUGAAUGAGAUCCCCAAGUUUCAUCUCCAGCAGGAUUUCUCCAGAGGGCAGUCAAGUAUCAGCUCUAGAAGCCCUUGAAGGAAGCUUCAAGCACAGCCUUUAUCCAUCUUCCUUCUACUAAGCAAUAAAGUUGCCUGCUGAUCACCCUCUUCCAGGGAAAAGUGCAGCCACAUGAACAUAUUUCUAAGACUUUUCAAUGAAUCCUCA